ensembl:lncRNA
UGACAUCACUGCCUUGGGGGAAGUUGCUCAGCGGCUCUGCUCCUCAGCGCCCUCAUCUGUAAGGUGGGAAUGAUGGCAGUCCUACUGGUGCUGGUGGUGUGAAGCCUACCUGAGUUGACCCGUAAAAGCUCUCUGAACGCUAAGCACCCACAAGGUGUGGCCGGUACAGUCAUUUGCUGUGAGGGAGUCAACUGACAGGGUCAGAGGGCUGGGCCUCAUAAACGUGGGUAAAUUCAAGUAAUCUGGGGAGAGCAAAUAUGUUAAAUCGCCCUCUAGCGAGGAUCUGGAGAACUGCAGCCGUUGAGGACCACCUUCUGAUUCUUGGGCAUCCGGGCAGUGGUGCUGGGUCCGUUGAGUUGUAUAUCCCAUGCUUCAUUUCCCUCCUGGGUUUGGCUAGCUUUAUGGAGAAACAGGAGGAUUUCAAAUGUAAAGGCAACAAAAAAUAGUACAUGGCCCAUGCUCCAGCACAGGUGAGAGCUUAUGCCUUCUGCCUUGUGAAGUUGCCUGUGGAGGGAAGACUUUGGAAAAGAUGCCUUUUGUAGAAGGCAUACCAACUCAGCCAGAAGGACCUAGAGUGGGUAGAGGAAAUGUCUUCCUCCCCUACAAGAACAUACAUGAAGAUGAAGGCUUGGGAAGUAAGGGCAUAAGAUGCAAACUUGGUGGCUCCUGGUACUGUCUCAGAGAGCGUGUUUUGCACUUGGGAACAUCACAAAGCCUUGAUACGGAAAGCACCGCAAGAUGCCAGAUCAGAUGCUCUGAUAGUAUCACCCUCAAGCGCCACCUUCAGGCCGUUCCUCAGGACUGCGGUGGAAAUUUCCAGCCAUCUCAGCCUUGCAUAUUGUACAAGAACUUUCCAAGAAACACUUGUAUUUUUGGCGACUGCUUUUCACCGGAGAUUUGAUUAUUUUAUAAUGACCAAAUAGUAGAGGGGCCUUUCUUUUUUUUUUUUUAAAGGGGGCUUUCUAAUGUUUAUCCUGGGAGCCCCAAAUGGAAAAAUCAGUGGACUGAAGACUCAAUUCAGUUGAAAAACUGGUUCGAUUCAUUAGUCACUGAGGUGAUUGGCUAGAUGAAUAGAAUUUCUUAGAUAUUUAACCAAAAUCCAAGACAAUCCGGAUUCCUUAUUUUAGCUAAUAAUUUCAAUAACUUUCCAAACUUCAAAGCUGGCUUUUCUCUCCAGUUUUAUUUUUUUAAACCAGAAGCUGGCAAUUAAGUAUCUAGAUAAUAUUCCUCUUCAUUUUCAUGUAGGGAUUCUGAUGAACAAGAAAAAGAGAAAAAAAGUCAAACUAAUAUGUCAUGACAUUCACCAACUACCUCUCAUUAGUUGAAAACUGUUUCGGAAUCCAAUGCUAUGAUCCGAGUCCCCUCCCAGCUGUCCCUUGGCCUCUCAUUCUUCACUCCUACUGGCUGCAUUAGAGAUGGACUUGGCUCUUGGCUUUCAGCUCUGCCACUUUCUGAAUGACCAUAUCAUUGAGGAUGCUCUCAGCUGCAAGCAACGAAAAACGCAAUGGAACCUGGCCAACUCAACCUUUCUUAACUCCCUUAAACAGAAGGUCCAGGGAGAGGGCUGUGCCCGGGUUGGGUAAUUCAUUUGCUCAAUAACAUCUCAAGGAUCCAGGCUUUCCUCC